UACGUAGGUGACCAGCGUUGUCCGGAUUUACUGGGCGUAAAGAGCGCGCAGGCGGUCGUUCAAGUCGAGUGUGAAAGCCCCCGGCUCAACUGGGGAGGGUCACUCGAUACUGAUCGACUUGAAGGCAGGAGAGGGAAGGCGGAAUUCCCGGUGUAGUGGUGAAAUGCGUAGAUAUCGGGAGGAACACCAGUGGCGAAGGCGGCUUCCUGGCCUGUUCGUUGACGCUGAGG
rnacentral:rRNA from 1 species